rnacentral:rRNA from 1 species
AUUGAACGCUGUCGGCAGGCCUAACACAUGCCAGUCGAGCGGAGCGGCGGACGGGCGAGUAAUGCCUAGGUAUCUGCCUGGUAGCGGGGGCUAACGUCAGGAAACGGGCGCUAGUACCGCAUUCUAUCAGAUGAGCCUAGGUCGGAUUAGCUAGUUGGUGGGGUAAAGGCCUAACAAGGCGACGAUCCGUCACUGGUCUGAUAGGAUGAUCAGUCACACUGGAACUGAGACACGGUCCAGACUCCGACGGGAGGCAGCAGUGGGGAAUAUUGGACAAUGGGCGAAAGCCUGAUGCAGCCAUGCCGCGUGUGUGAAGAAGGUCUUCGGAUUGUAAAGCACUUUAAGUUAGGAGGCGUUACCAGCAGAAGAAGCACCGGCUAACUUCGUGCCAGCAGCCGCGGUAAUUC